UCUGUGUUAGUUUAAAUAGAAUAUUAAUUUUGUAAAUUAAAGGCGGAGAAUUUAAUUUCUACGCAGGA
rnacentral:tRNA from 1 species